rnacentral:sRNA from 1 species
UGAAAGACGCGCAUUUGUUAUCAUCAUCCCUUAUUCAGAGAUGUAUAUUUUGGCCACACUGAUUGUGGCCUUUUUC